UUGAAGGCUAUGAAGAGGAAUAGUAAAUAGGAAGAUUCUAACAGGAAGGAAGACCCAUCGACUGAGAGGUUUUCUAAGAUUAUUUCUAUUGAACCCACCCUCCGAGCUGCAAAUGAAAAGUUUGUCCGUCUGGUCCGCGUUAUGGACUUAAAGAGGAAUAGAUGUAUUAAUGCAAUCUAUUUAACUUGGGUGGUACCGCGAAUGACCUUCGUCCCUUGU
rnacentral:ncRNA from 1 species